AAUAAGUGCAGUCUUGCACUAUUUAUGUUCAACGUUUGACCGUCCGUCUUAUUUGAAAAUUUUUUAUGAUUAGUAUUUUUAUUGCUAUUAGAUGAUAAAACAUGAAUAGCACUUUAUGUGUGACUAAAUGUUUUUAAUUUUUUCACAAAUUUUUCAAAUAAGACGGACGGUCAAACGUUGAACGUGAAUAGUGCAAAACUGCACUUAUU
rfam:Oryza sativa (indica cultivar-group) chromosome 8, whole genome shotgun sequence.